CCACUCAUUCAAAGAGUGCGUAAUAGCUCACUGGUCGAGUGAUCCUGCGCCGAAGAUUUCCGGGGCUAAAACUUACUACCGAAGCUACGGCCUCAGUAAUGAUGGGUAGGGGAGCUUCCCAUACGGGUUGAAGCAUGACCGUAAGGACAUGUGGACAGUAUGGGAGUGAGAAUGUUGGCAUGAGUAGCGAGAUGUGGGUGAGAAUCCCACAGGCCGUAAACCCAAGGUUUCCAGGGGAAGGUUCGUCCGCCCUGGGUUAGUCGGGACCUAAGCUGAGGCCGAAAGGCGUAGGUGAUGGACAACAGGUUGA
rnacentral:rRNA from 1 species